GUGAACUAUGCUUGGCGAAGACGAAGCCCCAGGAAACUGUGGUGGAAGUCUGUAGCCGUUUUGACGUGCAAAUCAAUGGUGUCAGCUGAGCAUAGGGGCGAAAGACCAAUCGAACUAUCUAGUAGCUGGUUCCAUUCGAAGUUUCUCUCAGGAUAGCUUGCGUGACAUUAACGCUAUGAGUCUGGACUCUUCGGUACACGAAAGCGUGCUGGUAGUCCGUCCCACUUUGUCUGCAGUUGUUGAGAGUUGACGUAGCCAAGAACUUUGUCAUCUCACUCUCUAGUCGCCAGGGUAGCGUAUCAUUUGACCGUGAGCAGUUACGUCUGGUAAAGAGAAUGAGUAGAGUUAGCUCGUUGCUUUCUAUAGCAACAGCAGCGGGGCGUCCUACGCCUCGCACUAUUAUCAAACUUUAAAUGGGCGAGGUACCCGGUAUUUUCUUAAUUGCUUGAUACCGGGGCGAAACACGUCUUGGCUUUACCGUCGAGGCGAAGGUGAAUGCGUGCGCGCAAAGUGGGUCCUUUCUGGUAAGCAGAACUGAUAAUGAGGGAUGAACCUAACGCAUGUGCUAAGGGGCCAAAGAGACAGCUAUUUCUCGAAACCAUUGGAAAGGUGUUGCUUGCUGAAGACAGCAGGACGGUGGUCAUGGAAGUCGAUAUCCGCUAAGGAGUGUGUAACUACUCAUCCUGCCGAAGCGAGUAACCCUGAAAAUGGAUGGCUCUAUAGCUCUCUCCCGAUGCACGGCCGUCAGUAGCACUUGAGUCACCUCGUGUCUCUACGCUCUGACGAGUAGAAAGGUUGUGCUGCAUUGCGUUGACGGCUAUCGCGUGAGCGUGGUCUGAGCGUGCAGCAAUACAGAUCUUGGUGGUAGUAGCAAGUACUCUGGUGAAUAACCUUGAGCUGUGAGGUUGAUAAGGGUUCCAUGUCAACAGUGUUUGUACAUGGGUAAGUCGAUCCUAAGCCCCCAUUAUUCUUAAUGGUGAUUGCGAUCGCCCGAGAGUUAUGGUGUCUGUAGUAGAGUCAGAGUGGGAGCGCUCGCGCGCUCUCUCUUGGAUUGCGUCGUGUCUGUCGCAUGCCUUUUCUGCGUGAACAGGGGCACAGGUGUGUUGUACUCAGAGAGAGGUGAAUGUGUGAACGGUAGCGUUUUUCUCUUUGAGAAGUGGGACGCUGUGACCUAGUAAUAUCGUUCGUAAUCUCGCUAAAAUACGAUGCUCUCGUGUGCCGCUUAGUACCAAUGAUGUACAUGGGUUUUGCGCGUGAUACGUUAAGUCACUACACUUUCGCGUCGCUCGGCGAAAGGGAAUUGCGGACUCAGUUCGUAAACCACACCUGGUACCCUGAGACGGUUCACCGUUUCACGGACCUGGCAAGAGCUUGCCAGGCCAGUCGCUGUCAUAAGUAGCUCGGCGGGGAGAUUUCUUCUCUCUUUGAUAUAGAUACGUGUCCUGAAAGCACCUCGAGUGGCGGAAGGUCAACGCUAUCUAGCAGAGUACUCUACUCCCUCGAGUAGAUAACGAUGCUGCUUGUGAUCCGUGAAAAGGUGGUCGAGGGGAAAGUAUGGGACAAUAAGCACCCACAAUGCUACAAAAAGCAAACGAGAACAAGACUGUGUUUGUGUAAGCCCGCGCUUACUCCCACACGACUUGUGUUUUUGUGCGCCGCGUAUCUGUGUUGUGU
rnacentral:rRNA from 1 species